rnacentral:rRNA from 1 species
CUACGGGCGGCAGCAGUGGGGAAUAUUGGACAAUGGGGGAAACCCUGAUCCAGCAAUGCCGCGUGUGUGAAGAAGGCCUGCGGGUUGUAAAGCACUUUCGGUUGGGAGGACUGCUUCUAGCACUAAUAUUGUUGGAAGUUGACGUUACCUUCAGAAGAAGCACCGGCUAACUCCGUGCCAGCAGCCGCGGUAAUACGGAGGGUGCAAGCGGUAAUCGGAAUUACUGGGCGUAAAGCGCGCGUAGGCGGCUAGAUCAGUCGGGUGUGAAAGCCCCGGGCUUAACCUGGGAACUGCAUCCGAUACUGUCUAGCUUGAGUACAGGAGAGGAGAGUGGAAUUCCACAUGUAGCGGUGACAUGCGUAGAUAUGUGGAGGAACACCAAUGGCGAAGGCAGCUCUCUGGCCUGAUACUGACGCUGAGGUGCGAAAGCGUGGGGAGCAAACAGGAUUAGAUACCCGUGUAGUC